rnacentral:rRNA from 1 species
AGAGUUUGAUCAUGGCUCAGAUUGAACGCUGGCGGCAGGCCUAACACAUGCAAGUCGAGCGGUAGCACAGAGAGCUUGCUCUCGGGUGACGAGCGGCGGACGGGUGAGUAAUGUCUGGGAAACUGCCUGAUGGAGGGGGAUAACUACUGGAAACGGUAGCUAAUACCGCAUAAUGUCGCAAGACCAAAGUGGGGGACCUUCGGGCCUCAUGCCAUCAGAUGUGCCCAGAUGGGAUUAGCUAGUAGGUGGGGUAACGGCUCACCUAGGCGACGAUCCCUAGCUGGUCUGAGAGGAUGACCAGCCACACUGGAACUGAGACACGGUCCAGACUCCUACGGGAGGCAGCAGUGGGGAAUAUUGCACAAUGGGCGCAAGCCUGAUGCAGCCAUGCCGCGUGUGUGAAGAAGGCCUUCGGGUUGUAAAGCACUUUCAGCGGGGAGGAAGGCGGUAAGGUUAAUAACCUCAUCGAUUGACGUUACCCGCAGAAGAAGCACCGGCUAACUCCGUGCCAGCAGCCGCGGUAAUACGGAGGGUGCAAGCGUUAAUCGGAAUUACUGGGCGUAAAGCGCACGCAGGCGGUCUGUCAAGUCGGAUGUGAAAUCCCCGGGCUCAACCUGGGAACUGCAUUCGAAACUGGCAGGCUAGAGUCUUGUAGAGGGGGGUAGAAUUCCAGGUGUAGCGGUGAAAUGCGUAGAGAUCUGGAGGAAUACCGGUGGCGAAGGCGGCCCCCUGGACAAAGACUGACGCUCAGGUGCGAAAGCGUGGGGAGCAAACAGGAUUAGAUACCCUGGUAGUCCACGCCGUAAACGAUGUCGAUUUGGAGGUUGUGCCCUUGAGGCGUGGCUUCCGGAGCUAACGCGUUAAAUCGACCGCCUGGGGAGUACGGCCGCAAGGUUAAAACUCAAAUGAAUUGACGGGGGCCCGCACAAGCGGUGGAGCAUGUGGUUUAAUUCGAUGCAACGCGAAGAACCUUACCUGGUCUUGACAUCCACAGAACUUUCCAGAGAUGGAUUGGUGCCUUCGGGAACUGUGAGACAGGUGCUGCAUGGCUGUCGUCAGCUCGUGUUGUGAAAUGUUGGGUUAAGUCCCGCAACGAGCGCAACCCUUAUCCUUUGUUGCCAGCGGU